rnacentral:rRNA from 1 species
CGUGUAGCGGUGAAAUGCGUAGAGAUGUGGAGGAACACCAGUGGCGAAGGCGACUCUCUGGUCUGUAACUGACGCUGAGGAGCGAAAGCGUGGGGAGCGAACAGGAUUAGAUACCCUGGUAGUCCACGCCGUAAACGAUGAGUGCUAAGUGUUAGGGGGUUUCCGCCCCUUAGUGCUGCAGCUAACGCAUUAAGCACUCCGCCUGGGGAGUACGGUCGCAAGACUGAAACUCAAAGGAAUUGACGGGGGCCCGCACAAGCGGUGGAGCAUGUGGUUUAAUUCGAAGCAACGCGAAGAACCUUACCAGGUCUUGACAUCCUCUGACAAUCCUAGAGAUAGGACGUCCCCUUCGGGGGCAGAGUGACAGGUGGUGCAUGGUUGUCGUCAGCUCGUGUCGUGAGAUGUUGGGUUAAGUCCCGCAACGAGCGCAACCCUUGAUCUUAGUUGCCAGCAUUCAGUUGGGCACU